CGUGCCGUGAGGUGUUGGGUUAAGUCCCCGCAACGAGCGCAACCCCUACUGCCAGUUUACCAACACGUUAAGGUGGGGACUCUGGCGGAACUGCCGGUGACAAACCGGAGGAAGGUGGGGAUGACGUCAAGUCCUCAUGGCCCUUAUGGGUAGGGCUUCACACGUCAUACAAUGGUCGGUACAGAGGGUUGCCAACCCGCGAGGGGGAGCUAAUCCCACAAAGCCGAUCGUAGUCCGGAUCGCAGUCUGCAACUCGACUGCGUGAAGUCGGAAUCGCUAGUAAUCGUGGAUCAGCAUGUCACGGUGAAUACGUUCCCGGGUCUU
rnacentral:rRNA from 1 species